rnacentral:rRNA from 1 species
CUGCGUGAAGGUGGAGUCGCUAGUAAUCGCGGAUCAGCAACGCCGCGGUGAAUGCGUUCCCGGGCCUUGUACACACCGCCCGUCAAGUCAUGAAAGUGGGCAGCACCCGAAGACGGUGGCCUAACCCUUGUGGGGGGAGCCGUCUAAGGUGAGGCUCGUGAUUGGGACUAAGUCGUAACAAGGUAUC